UUUUUUUUUUAAUACCGAAAAUAAGAACUGAGUUAAAACAAAAUCCAGUUUACUCAUCUCCCUUUUAAACCUCGACAGCGCCACCUUUCGCCACAGACCAGUUUCAUACUGAACCGCUUCCAAUUUUCUAGAUAGAAAAAAAUCCAUACUAGAAAUGUGUUUAAGAAAAAAAGUUAAGAGCUCCUAGCGUCUGCACGACAGUCUGACAUUAACUCUUUCAAGUCAGAGGAAUGUUCAUGGCUUAGCCAGAUCGCCCGUUUUGGGGGUUGAAUAUAAUAACAGGAGGUGUGUUUUACAACACUUCCUACCUAUAGAAUUUCUCCCCUUAGGACACGGUCUGCAAGGUAUUUCUAGAAAGUGGGAACGAAAGGGGAGACAGUUCUUGUUAGCCCGGAUACUUCGUGGAGUUGUCUUUCUGUUUCUCUCUCUCUUUCUGUGAGAUAAAGACAAAAAUCUUUCAAACUUCCAGCCUUGAUUUUCAACUGACUUUAUGGCAACCUCAAUAGAAUUAAAGUUACUAGUAAUUUGGUGAUAAAUGUGAUCUCUCUAGUAAGUAAGAUUAAGUGUAGUGCUAUAAAGUUGUUUAUCUGAAAAGUAAUUCUCAGAAAUCUGACUCUUGACACUUAGUCAUAUAUUAAACCAGCCUUCUGAACAUUGUACUUGGGUACAUUGGCUUCAACUAUUCCCUUCCCCCCCCCCCUCCCCGAAUUUCCUACUGAAAAAUCUUUGCCUUAUUCUAAGGAUCUGCCUUGAAGAGUCAUUUCCAAUAGCAUCAAAAUCUGAAGUUGGCAAAGAAAAGACAGGCUUUGUGUACCCUGACAUUCCUCAGCCUUGACAGCCAGGAUUCAUAUGAUCAAGCUGUGUUAACUGGUAAUAAUGAAAGCAGUUUGAAAGAGAGAGCUGGGCUGUUGGGUGUGUCACAAAUUGGUUGGGGAAGCAUCCACAUGCUUUCAGGGAUGGAUUACCAGAACACUUUACCGGAAGAACCUAAAAAUGAUGGUUUCCAGCAUCCAACUGGAAUGAUUCACAGGCUUUUAUCUUCCCGGUCACCUGUUUGGGGAACAAUGGAACGAUCGUCUUCAUGAGCUUCGGAUGGGAAGUGGCCCGCUUUAUAGUCAAUAGCACUUCCUCCCAGGUGGAAGAGUUCUGGAAUUGUUUUCAUGAUUGCAUCAAUGAGGUUGGCUAAUUCCCUGCGGAAACGUUUCUGAGUAACAUAUAAAGGAAAUUGUGCUUCUGAUGCCCGGCCAUUUGCUACUGAAUUCUGGUGGUGCAAUCAUGGGGAUCUGCGGUGAGCCCCAGAAAGCAGCUUCACUGUCAUAGAAGUCCUGCCCUGAUUUAGAAGACAGCUAGAAAUCUCUCUGUGUAUUUGUAAAUGAAUUGCACUUCUAGCAGCUGUAAGAUCCACACAUCUGGAAGAAACAGAGGCAGGAAGAGAAACAGACUGCCAAAAGCUGGCUGAAAGCAUCUUGAGGAAUCUCUCAGGGAGUAUGAGAUGAGGGUAACGCAGGGGUGCAGAAAGUGUGGCCUGGUUACUACAUGUGGCGUUUGUGUAUGGAGUUAGAAGGGUUUAAGAACAAAGUAGGUGUGUAAAUCUUGCUGUCCAAGGCACCCAAUUUAUCCCUUAGAACCUCUGAGCCAACACCCUGGUUGGAUCUACUGCCCUCCACUUUUGGAAUGCUGCCUUCAACAUGCCACUCAAAGCCUAUCACAGCCCCCAAACCAGCAAAGUAGUGCACCUCUGGCAUAAUGGAUCUGCCACCUUGUAAACUCCUGGGUGUCAUGCCAGAAUCAAGCAUAUUAAAAACAAUGAAUCCCACAAUAAAAUUACAUCAAUACUUGCCACUUGAGGCAUGGCAUAUUUACUUUUUAAAAAAUGCACAACUUGGCUUUGUUGGAAAAGAUUGAAAAGAAAAAUGCAUUUAAAGUCUUCUUCAAGGAUGGCAGUUCAAAUAUUCUUCUGGGUGUGAGUGCCAUGUAAGCAGCCUCACCAAAGUCCAGCUUCAAAGGGCAGUCAAUUAAAAUGCCUGCCAUCAAAGACAGGUCUUCCCAGUGGUACUAAUCUUACUCAUAUAUUUGCAAACAAAGAAGAUAGCAUUUAUUAGUCUUCCUCAAAUAUCCUGCUUUCCAGAAGAGAUGAUUGAGAGAAUUCCCAUCAUUUCCAGACAACAUCCAAUGAUGUUUCCUCCAUUUUUAGGGAGUAAGAACAGCAUUACCACAUUAGGAUCCACCCACAAGAAUGUUUGAACUCCUUCUGUCUGGUCAUGGCCCAAUCGGAGCUUGAACCUUUGUCCAGUUCUAGGUACCACAGUGAUCACACUUAAAAAAAAAUGUUCUAACAAACUCAAAGUAGUUCAAGGAAGGUUUAAGGAGGUGGAUGCUCUGGAAGCUGAUUUCUGUGAGGAGCAACUGGGGAACUGGGCAUAAUUAGCUUUAAGAAAAGAUGAUUGGAAGAGGAGUAAUAACUCUGUUCAAGUAUCUGAAGAAGUAUCUUACAGAUAAAGGUCAUGACCCAGAAUGCAGGAACAUGGAAUAAUGACCUUCUGCCUUAUAGGAAUGCAGUUUCUGGUUGAAUGUUAGGAAAAAGACUGUUGUUGACAGGAGCAGUUGAACUGGUGAGUCAGUUAUCUAGGUUCCCCUUCAUUGGAUGUGUUCACGUGGAGACUGGAUAACCAUCUGUCAGGGAUGUUUGAAUGGAUUAGUCCCUGC